rnacentral:rRNA from 1 species
CGGGUCUAGUGGCGCACGGGUGCGUUUCUCGUCGGAAUCUGCCAAUGAAAUCGGAAUAACUCAGAGAAAUUUGAGCUAAUACCGGAUGAUGACGAAAGUCCAAAGAUUUAUCGCCCAGGGAUGAGCCCGCGUAAGAUUAGCUUGUUGGUGGGGUAAUGGCCCACCAAGGCGACGAUCUUUAGCUGGUCUGAGAGGAUGAUCAGCCACACUGGGACUGAGACACGGCCCAGACUCCUACGGGAGGUAUCAGUGGG